rnacentral:rRNA from 1 species
UACGUAGGGGGCAAGCGUUGGUCCGGAAUUACUGGGCGUAAAGCGCGCGUAGGCGGGCUUGAAAGUUGAUUGUGAAAGCCCUGGGCUUAACCCGGGAAUGGCAGUCAAAACUUCAAGUCUUGAGUGCCUGAGAGGAUGGCGGAAUUCCCGGUGUAGUAGUGAAAUACGUAGAUAUCGGGAAGAACACCUGAGGCGAAGGCGGCUAUCUGGCGGUGCACUGACGCUGAGGCGCGAAAGCUCGGGGAGCGAACGGG